UAUUGGGCAAUGGCCGAAAGGCUGGCCCAGCGACGCCGCGUGUGGGAGGAAGCCCUUCGGGGUGUAAACCACUGUCAGAGGGGACAAAAGAGUUCUCGGUAAACAAUCGGGAGCAGUGACGGGACCCUGAAAGGAAGCACCGGCUAACUAUGUGCCAGCAGCCGCGGUAAUACAGAGGGUGCAAGCGUUGUUCGGAAUUACUGGGCGUAAAGCGCGCGCAGGCGGAUCCUGCAAGUCAGAAGUGAAAUCUCAUUGCUCAACGAUGAGGCUGCUUUUGAUACUGCGGAUCUGGAGACCGGUAGAGGCUGGUAGAAUUGCAGGUGUAGCGGUGGAAUGCGUAGAGAUCUGCAAGAAUACCCGUGGCGAAGGCGGCCAGCUGGGCCGGUUCUGACGCUGAGGCGCGAAAGCGUGGGGAGCAAACAG
rnacentral:rRNA from 1 species